UACGUAGGGAUCAAGCGUUGUUCGGAUUUACUGGGCGUAAAGGGCGCGUAGGCGGCAAUUCAAGUCAUCUGUGAAAUCUCCGGGCUUAACCCGGAACGGUCAGGUGAUACUGUUUUGCUAGAGUGCGGAAGGGGCAAUCGGAAUUCUCGGUGUAGCGGUGAAAUGCGUAGAUAUCGAGAGGAACACCAGAGGUGAAGACGGGUUGCUGGGCCGACACUGACGCUGACAGCGCGAAAGCCAGGGGAGCAAACGGG
rnacentral:rRNA from 1 species